UACGUAGGGGGCUAGCGUUGUCCGGAAUCAUUGGGCGUAAAGCGCGUGUAGGCGGUCCGGUAAGUCCGCUGUGAAAGUCGGGGGCUCAACCCUCGGAUGCCGGUGGAUACUGUCGGGCUUGAGUACGGAAGAGGCGAGUGGAAUUCCUGGUGUAGCGGUGAAAUGCGCAGAUAUCAGGAGGAACACCAAUGGCGAAGGCAGCUCGCUGGAACGGUACUGACGCUGAGGCGCGAAAGCGUGGGGAGCGAACAGG
rnacentral:rRNA from 1 species